rnacentral:piRNA from 1 species
UACUGUUCAUAUAAAGCCUCUUCAUCAAAGU